AUGCUCGCUAGGGCAGUACAUACAAAACUGGAACCAUAAGAGAUUAGCAUGGCCCCUUUGCAAGGAUGACAUGCAAAUUUGUGAAGCACUCUAUGUUUAA
rnacentral:snRNA from 1 species